rnacentral:rRNA from 1 species
GACGAACCGUCCAAACGUUAUUCGGAAUCACUGGGCUUACAGAGUUCGUAGGCGGUCUGGAAAAUUGGGUGUGAAAUCCCUCGGCCUAACCGAGGAACUGCGCUUGAAACUACCAGACUCGAGGGAGAUAGAGGAAAGCGGAACUGAUGGUGGAGCGGUGAAAUGCGUUGAUAUCAUCAGGAACACCGGUGGCGAAGGCGGCUUUCUGGGUCUUACCUGACGCUGAGGAACGAAAGCCAGGGGAGCGAACGGG